ensembl:snoRNA SNORA75 Small nucleolar RNA SNORA75
CACUUCUCAAUGAGCUCCUUCCUGCCAACACCCCCAUGGCAGCCUAUGGAUUCGCACGAGAAGGACAUUAACAGUUCAGUGCUGGCGCGCUCGUAACGUGGCUCCAUCGGUUGCGAUUAGCCACUGCUGUUCUACAAGU